GAUGAACGCUAGCUACAGGCUUAACACAUGCAAGUCGAGGGGAAACGAUGAGAGAGCUUGCUCUCUUAGUCGUCGACCGGCGCACGGGCGAGUAACGCGUAUCCAACCUGCCUCUGACCAAGGGAUAACCCGUCGAAAGUCGGACUAAUACCUUAUGCAGUCGUCGGAAGUCAUCUGAUGACGACGAAAGAUUUCAUCGGUGAGAGAUGGGGAUGCGUCUGAUUAGCUUGUUGGCGGGGUAACGGCCCACCAAGGCGACGAUCAGUAGGGGUUCUGAGAGGAAGGUCCCCCACAUUGGAACUGAGACACGGUCCAAACUCCUACGGGAGGCAGCAGUGAGGAAGAUUGGGCAAUGGGCGUAAGCCUGAACCAGCCAAGUAGCGUGCAGGAUGACGGCCCUAUGGGUUGUAAACUGCUUUUAGGCGGGGAUAAAGUGAGGGACGUGUCCUUCAUUGCAGGUACCGCAUGAAUAAGGACCGGCUAAUUCCGUG
rnacentral:rRNA from 1 species